rnacentral:rRNA from 1 species
GCAGUCGAGCGGUAGCACAGAGAGCUUACUCUCGGGUGACGAGCGGCGGACGGGUGAGUAAUGUCUGGGAAACUGCCUGAUGGAGGGGGAUAACUACUGGAAACGGUAGCUAAUACCGCAUAACGUCGCAAGACCAAAGUGGGGGACCUUCGGGCCUCAUGCCAUCAGAUGUGCCCAGAUGGGAUUAGCUAGUAGGUGGGGUAAUGGCUCACCUAGGCGACGAUCCCUAGCUGGUCUGAGAGGAUGACCAGCCACACUGGAACUGAGACACGGUCCAGACUCCUACGGGAGGCAGCAGUGGGGAAUAUUGCACAAUGGGCGCAAGCCUGAUGCAGCCAUGCCGCGUGUAUGAAGAAGGCCUUCGGGUUGUAAAGUACUUUCAGCGAGGAGGAAGGCGUUAAGGUUAAUAACCUUAGCGAUUGACGUUACUCGCAGAAGAAGCACCGGCUAACUCCGUGCCAGCAGCCGCGGUAAUACGGAGGGUGCAAGCGUUAAUCGGAAUUACUGGGCGUAAAGCGCACGCAGGCGGUUUGUUAAGUCAGAUGUGAAAUCCCCGGGCUCAACCUGGGAACUGCAUCUGAUACUGGCAAGCUUGAGUCUCGUAGAGGGGGGUAGAAUUCCAGGUGUAGCGGUGAAAUGCGUAGAGAUCUGGAGGAAUACCGGUGGCGAAGGCGGCCCCCUGGACGAAGACUGACGCUC